rnacentral:rRNA from 1 species
GACGAACGCUGGCGGCGUGCUUAACACAUGCAAGUCGAACGGAAAGGCCCUGCUUUUGUGGGGUGCUCGAGUGGCGAACGGGUGAGUAACACGUGAGUAACCUGCCCUUGACUUUGGGAUAACUUCAGGAAACUGGGGCUAAUACCGGAUAGGAGCUCCUGCUGCAUGGUGGGGGUUGGAAAGUUUCGGCGGUUGGGGAUGGACUCGCGGCUUAUCAGCUUGUUGGUGGGGUAGUGGCUUACCAAGGCUUUGACGGGUAGCCGGCCUGAGAGGGUGACCGGCCACAUUGGGACUGAGAUACGGCCCAGACUCCUACGGGAGGCAGCAGUGGGGAAUAUUGCACAAUGGGCGGAAGCCUGAUGCAGCAACGCCGCGUGCGGGAUGACGGCCUUCGGGUUGUAAACCGCUUUCGCCUGUGACGAAGCGUGAGUGACGGUAAUGGGUAGAGAAGCACCGGCUAACUACGUGCCAGCAGCCGCGGUGAUACGUAGGGUGCGAGCGUUGUCCGGAUUUAUUGGGCGUAAAGGGCUCGUAGGUGGUUGAUCGCGUCGGAAGUGUAAUCUUGGGGCUUAACCCUGAGCGUGCUUUCGAUACGGGUUGACUUGAGGAAGGUAGGGGAGAAUGGAAUUCCUGGUGGAGCGGUGGAAUGCGCAGAUAUCAGGAGGAACACCAGUGGCGAAGGCGGUUCUCUGGGCCUUUCCUGACGCUGAGGAGCGAAAGCGUGGGGAGCGAACAGGCUUAGAUACCCUGGUAGUCCACGCUGUAAACGGUGGGUACUAGGUGUGGGGUCCAUUCCACGGGUUCCGUGCCGUAGCUAACGCUUUAAGUACCCCGCCUGGGGAGUACGGCCGCAAGGCUAAGACUCAAAGGAAUUGACGGGGCCCCGCACAAGCGGCGGAGCAUGCGGAUUAAUUCGAUGCAACGCGUAGAACCUUACCUGGGUUUGACAUGGAUCGGGAGUGCUCAGAGAUGGGUGUGCCUCUUUUGGGGUCGGUUCACAGGUGGUGCAUGGCUGUCGUCAGCUCGUGUCGUGAGAUGUUGGGUUAAGUCCCGCAACGAGCGCAACCCUUGUUCACUGUUGCCAGCACGUUAUGGUGGGGACUCAGUGGAGACCGCCGGGGUCAACUCGGAGGAAGGUGGGGAUGACGUCAAGUCAUCAUGCCCCUUAUGUCCAGGGCUUCACGCAUGCUACAAUGGCUGGUACAGAGAGUGGCGAGCCUGUGAGGGUGAGCGAAUCUCGGAAAGCCGGUCUCAGUUCGGAUUGGGGUCUGCAACUCGACCUCAUGAAGUCGGAGUCGCUAGUAAUCGCAGAUCAGCAACGCUGCGGUGAAUACGUUCCCGGG